GUGCUUGCUUUGGGAGCACAUAUACUAAAAUUGGAACAAUACUGAGAAGAAUGGCAUGACCCCUGAGCAAGGAUGACACACAAAUUCAUGAAGCAUUUCAUAUUUUU
rnacentral:snRNA from 1 species